rnacentral:rRNA from 2 species
AUAAGCAUUAUACGGCGAAACUGCGAAUGGCUCAUUAUAUAAGUUAUCGUUUAUUUGAUAGCACAUUACUACUUGGAUAACCGUGGUAAUUCUAGAGCUAAUACAUGCUAAAAAUCCCGACUUCGGAAGGGAUGUAUUUAUUAGAUUAAAAACCAAUGCCCUCUGGGCUCUCUGGUGAAUCAUGAUAACUGCUCGAAUCGCAGGGCCUCGUGCCGGCGAUGGUUCAUUCAAAUUUCUUCCCUAUCAACUUUCGAUGUUUGGGUAUUGGCCAAACAUGGUUACAACGGGUAACGGAGGGUUAGGGCUCGACCCCGGAGAAGGAGCCUGAGAGACGGCUACUACAUCCAAGGAAGGCAGCAGGCGCGCAAAUUACCCAAUCCCGACACGGGGAGGUAGUGACAAUAAAUACUGAUACAGGGCUCUUUCGGGUCUUGUAAUUGGAAUGAGUACAAUUUAAAUCCCUUAACGAGGAACAAUUGGAGGGCAAGUCUGUGC